rnacentral:rRNA from 1 species
GCAAGUCGAACGAGAACGGCUUAUAGCUUGCUAUAAGUGUCAGCUAAGUGGCGCACGGGUGAGUAAUAUAUAGUUAAUCUGCCCUAGAGAGAGGGAUAACGUUUGGAAACGAACGCUAAUACCUCAUAUGCCUUUAAGUCAUAAGACUGCAAGGGAAAUAUUUAUAGCUCUAGGAUGAGACUGUACGGUAUCAGUUAGUUGGUGAGGUAAUGGCUCACCAAGACAAUGACGCCUAACUGGUUUGAGAGGAUGAUC